rnacentral:tRNA from 1 species
UUGGUUGUAAGUGUUAUUGGUAGCACGCUUGAUUUUUAAUCAAGAAGACACGUUCGAGUCGUGCCAGCAAUAC